rnacentral:lncRNA from 1 species
UCAAAAUUAAGAAAUUAUCACAAUGAGGCCAAUAUAAUGGUACAAUCACCUUUGGGCAGAAUGCACUCACUAAGGAUAAAAACCCUGGUCAAAACCUCAGAUGAGUUAAUCAAUGAGUAUACGUUGAGCUUUGAAAGUUGUCACCUUUGGGCUGGCAAAUUCCUCCGUCCAACGCAUUCUCCAAUAACUUCAUCUCAAAUUAAUUUUUAAUUAUAACAUAUAAUCAUCACCUUUAGGCAGAAAAUCACAUGGUACAAUUAAAAAC